AAUAGAAACCAUCAACUUCGCUGCAAAAGAAUCGAAUAAUUGAAGCAAAGAGGUGAAACUGUACCCAUCAUUGGUUGCUUGUGUAUGGACAAUGAAGAAACCGCUAUGCUUUAGGGCUUUGUAAACUUCCAAAGCUAACUGCACUGGCUCGUGGCCUCAUCCAGUCUGGCGGUACUUGAAAACAUGAAACCAAAUGUCUCAUUCUUGAACCCUAUAAACAGCCGAGAUGAUUUCAACAACAAAAUCCCAAUGUAAAUGAACACUCCAAUAUCAUUCAAAGCAAUACUUUCUUCUCUUGUAAGUACCCCAAUGGAGUAAGGAAACCUUGAGCAAUUAGGUAUAGGAAAAUGGAGGAAUAAUAGGUUUUCAACCUGGCUAAAGGAACGACAGAUAUUUUGCCACGAUGACGGGGAAGGUGGUAGCGGUGGAUAUGCGAUACUGGAUUUGAUGGACGGAGGGAAGAAGUAGAAGUCAAUAGAGUUACAGGAUCGAC
rnacentral:lncRNA from 1 species